rnacentral:rRNA from 1 species
AUUGAACGCUGGCGGCAGGCCUAACACAUGCAAGUCGGGCGAGCGGCGGACGGGUGAGUAAUGUAUGGGGAUCUGCCUGAUGGAGGGGGAUAACUACUGGAAACGGUAGCUAAUACAGCAUACCAUCAGAUGUGCCCAGAUGGGAUUAGCGAGUAGGUGGGGUAAUGGCUCACCUAGGAGACGAUCACUAGCUGGUCUGUGAGGAUGACCACCCACACUGUGACUGAGACACUGUCCAGACUCCUACGGGAGGGCGCAGUGGUGAAGAGUGCCCCAUGGUCGAAAGCGUGAUGCAGCCAUGCCGCGUGUGUGAGGAAGGCCUUCGGGUUGUAAAGCACUUUCAGCCAGGAGGCGUUACUCGCAGAAGAAGCACCGGCUAACUCCGUGCCAGCAGCCGCGGUAAUUC